AGCUAAUAGAUACCCUGGUAGUCCACGCCCUAAACGAUGUCUACUAGUUGUUGGUGGAGUAAAAUCCAUGAGUAAACGCAGCUAACGCGUGAAGUAGACCGCCUGGGGAGUACGGUCGCAAGAUUAAAACUCAAAGGAAUUGACGGGGGCCCGCACAAGCGGUGGAUUAUGUGGAUUAAUUCGAUGCAACGCGAAAACCUUACCUGGCCUUGACAUGCCACUAACGAAGCAGAGAUGCAUUAGGUGCCCGUAAGGGAAAGUGGACACAGGUGCUGCAUGGCUGUCGUCAGCUCGUGUCGUGAGACGUUGGGUUAAGUCCCGCAACGAGCGCAACCCUUGCCAUUAAUUGCCAUCAUUUAGUUGGGCACUUUAGUGGGACUGCCGGUGACAAACCGGAGGAAGGUGGGGAUGACGUCAAGUCCUCAUGGCCCUUAUGGCCAGGGCUUCACACGUAAUACAAUGGUCGGUACAGAGAGUUGCCAACCCGCAGGGGAGCUAAUCUCAGAAAGCCGAUCGUAGUCCGGAUUGUUCUCUGC
rnacentral:rRNA from 1 species